rnacentral:tRNA from 1 species
AUAGUGCGGUGCUGCGACUGUUAAUCCGCAGGUCCCUGGUUCGAGUCCAGGUCGGGGAGCCA